GGCGCAGCUGAUCCAUCCAUGCCGCGUGUGUGAAGAAGGCCUUCGGGUUGUAAAGCACUUUCAGUAGGGAGGAAGGGUUAAGUGUUAAUAGUACUUAACUUUGACGUUACCUACAGAAGAAGCACCGGCUAACUCUGUGCCAGCAGCCGCGGUAAUACAGAGGGUGCAAGCGUUAAUCGGAAUUACUGGGCGUAAAGCGCACGUAGGCGGUUUUUUAAGUCAGAUGUGAAAGCCCCGGGCUCAACCUGGGAAUUGCAUUUGAAACUGGAAAACUAGAGUGUGUGAGAGGGGGGUAGAAUUCCAAGUGUAGCGGUGAAAUGCGUAGAGAUUUGGAGGAAUACCAGUGGCGAAGGCGGCCCCCUGGCACAACACUGACGCUCAGGUGCGAAAGCGUGGGGAGCAAACAGGAUUAGAUACCCUGGUAGUCCACGCCGUAAACGAUGUCUACUAGCUGUUCGUGUCCUUGUGACGUGAGUAGCGCAGCUAACGCAUUAAGUAGACCGCCUGGGGAGUACGGUCGCAAGAUUAAAACUCAAAUGAAUUGACGGGGGCCCGCACAAGCGGUGGAGCAUGUGGUUUAAUUCGACGCAACGCGAAGAACCUU
rnacentral:rRNA from 1 species